AGCACUGACAAAGGCGUUUCUGAACAGGAAGUUUUGUAUCUCCUUUUUAUAAGCAGUGAAGGUAUCCCUCAAAUAAGGUUUUUAGCAAUUGAAUCACCUACAUCAACAAGUGCAGAUGGCCUUAAGAAGAUGAUACAGGAUUGCUUUUGCCGGUUUCACAUGAACAAUUUCCCAAGACAACUGGAACCUCACCAACCUUUGACAAAACGUCAAAAAAUUACCAGGCAUCAAGUGGAAGAACUUGAAGACGAUGAAGAUGAAGCAGGUACUUUUAAAUGUUAUAAUUAGUGUUUUGUAAAUGUAAUACUUUAUGUCGUAACAUUGCCUUUUCUGUUUCUGAAGAUGUUUCUUACCAAAAAAUAAAGCUAAAAGGGUUUAAUGCGUCCCG